rnacentral:tRNA from 1 species
UCUGCUUCUGAAGGAUACAGC